AUUGAACGCUGGCGGCAGGCCUAACACAUGCAAGUCGAGCGGAGGAAGGGAGCUUGCUCCUGGAUUCAGCGGCGGACGGGUGAGUAAUGCCUAGGAAUCUGCCUGGUAGUGGGGGAUAACGUCCGGAAACGGGCGCUAAUACCGCAUACGUCCUGAGGGAGAAAGUGGGGGAUCUUCGGACCUCACGCUAUCAGAUGAGCCUAGGUCGGAUUAGCUAGUUGGUGGGGUAAAGGCCUACCAAGGCGACGAUCCGUAACUGGUCUGAGAGGAUGAUCAGUCACACUGGAACUGAGACACGGUCCAGACUCCUACGGGAGGCAGCAGUGGGGAAUAUUGGACAAUGGGCGAAAGCCUGAUCUAGCCAUGCCGCGUGUGUGAAGAAGGUCUUCGGAUUGUAAAGCACUUUAAGUUGGGAGGAAGGGCAGUAAGUUAAUACCUUGCUGUUUUGACGUUACCAACAGAAUAAGCACCGGCUAACUUCGUG
rnacentral:rRNA from 1 species